rnacentral:ncRNA from 15 species
UUCGUUCAUUCGUUCGUACUUACGUUCGAAGGAACAAAAGAACGAACGAAAGUACGUACAUACGUACGAACGAACAAAAGAAAGAACGUACGUACGUACGAAGGAACGUAAU